CGCAUGAACCUGGCCGAUCAGCCCUUGCCGGAUCUUUUUCUAGUUCUGGAUCCGUUUCAUUUCUCAAACUCACUGCUUUAUCCGUCUUUAGUCUUCUUCUACCCGCUGAAGUUGAAAAAUAUCAAGAAAACCAAUAUUAUACAGUUAAUUGGUAUCAGUUUGUGUUAAUUUCUACAUAAAUGGUAGAUAGAAUUUGAUAACAUUUCAACAUGGUGCACGUAACAGUUGAUCAGCUAUAGUACUUCAGUACUUGAUCAUAUAUGGAAAUGUUGCGAAUGCUGAUUAUUCCAUGCAGGCUCGGGUGAUACUGCCCAAAAAGAACUUUCUAAAAUGCUUUUAAGAACACCCAAACAAGCUCUCAAUUUGUUCUGUGCUAUGCUGCAUGGAAAGUGUUAG
rnacentral:lncRNA from 1 species